UGUUCUGUGUGUGUGUGUGUGUGUGUAGUCCCACCCUGUGUGUGUGUGUGUAUUCCCACCCUGUGUUCUGUGUGUGUGUGUGUGUAGUCCCACCCUGUGUUCUGUGUGUGUGUGUGUGUGUGUGUGUGUGUGUGUGUGUGUGUGUGUGUGUAGUCCCACCCUGUGUUCUGUGUGUGUGUGUGUGUGUGUAGUCCCACCCUGUGUGUGUGUGUGUGUGUAGUCCCACCCUGUGUGUGUGUGUGUGUGUGUGUGUGUGUGUGUGUGUGUGUGUGUGUGUGUGUGUGUAGUCCCACCCUGUGUUCUGUGUGUGUAUUCCCACCCAGUGUUCUGUGUGUGUGUGUGUGUGUGUAGUCCCACCCUGUGUGUGUGUGUGUAUUCCCACCCUUCCCACCCUGUGUGUGUGUGUGUAGUCCCACCCUGUGUGUGUGUGUGUAGUCCCACCCUGUGUUCUGUGUGUGUGUGUGUGUGUGUGUGUGUGUGUGUGUGUGUGUGUAGUCCCACCCUGUGUUCUGUGUGUGUGUGUGUGUGUGUAGUGUGUGUGUGUGUGUGUGUAGUCCCACCCUGUGUUCUGUGUGUGUGUGUGUGUGUGUGUGUGUGUGUGUGUGUGUAGUCCCACCCUGUGUUCUGUGUGUGUGUGUGUGU
ensembl:lncRNA